rnacentral:rRNA from 1 species
UACGUAGGGCGCAAGCGUUGUCCGGAAUUAUUGGGCGUAAAGAGCUCGUAGGUGGCUUGUCACGUCGGGUGUGAAAGCCCGGGGCUUAACCCCGGGUCUGCAUUCGAUACGGGCUAGCUAGAGUGUGGUAGGGGAGAUCGGAAUUCCUGGUGUAGCGGUGAAAUGCGCAGAUAUCAGGAGGAACACCGGUGGCGAAGGCGGAUCUCUGGGCCAUUACUGACGCUGAGGAGCGAAAGCGUGGGGAGCGAACAGG